CAUAAUACAAAUUAAAUAUAAAUUUAAAAGAGCGUUUUCUAACACGCGCAAAAAACGACGCACUUUUGUACAAUAUAGAAAAGUGGCAACUGUUACUCAGCGCGAUUCACGAAUACCAUGACAAAAUGAGACUGUAUUGGUGUGCCCAUCUAUGCUUUACAGGAAGACCCCUA